GUCUAUGGCCAUACCACCCUGAAUGCACCCGAUCUCGUCUGAUCUCGGAAGCUAAGCAGGGUCGGGCCUAGUUAGUACUUGGAUGGGAAACAUAUAUGCACCUGACAACAUAUAAC
rnacentral:rRNA from 1 species